GACUGUGCGUGCUCUCCAGUUCUCCAGUAGCGCGCGGAUGCGUUAGAAGUCAGAGAGCCGCUUCUCCUCUUUUCUUUUAUUUCCUCUCCGCUUGUUUAGGUUGAGUUUUAUUUGAGAACACACUCACUGCCGGGACAGAGUCUGACACUCUUCACCCUCGUCAGGCUGAAGUUGAUUUGAAAGUUUAAAAGCAGCGAUGACAGAAAUAAGCGAUGAGAUGGAGAGCGACGCGGAGCCGCGCGAGCUGCAGAGAUCACCGAGCACCUUAUCCAUCAACGCCGGAUCCAAGCAGUUGUUGAGGUUAAAGCGUUCCUUGGCGUUUAUGCGCAGUAAGAGUGUGGAGAAUUUCUUCCAGCGUUCCUACAGCGACGCCCGUCUGCCUUCUGAUGUCAUCGAUGAUGCCCCGCCUCCUUCCCCUCCUCUGUUUCCAGAGUCACCGCUCCCCAGCGACCCAAACCCCCCCAAACCCCCUUUAAGCCCCUCCCUCCUGGUGCAACAGAAGCCUCGCCCUGCACAAACACACUGCUUCCUGGAUUAUGUGUUCCGCCGACCAACCAGCUGUCAGCUCUGCAAACACGUCAUCGUGGGGAAUUCUAAACAGGGUCUUCGCUGUAGGACGUGUAAAAUCUCAGCUCAUCUCUGGUGCACUGCAGAGCUCUCACAGCAACCAUGCCAAGGAAAAGCCGGCAUGUUCAAGAGAAACUUCAGCACUCCAUCAAUCACCAGCGACCAGCCGGCAAAUAAAGAGGCUCAAACUACAUCAGAGGUGAAGGUGCGAAUGGACCCAGUCUACGCUACACUCCGCUAUGGGACGUCUUUGGCCCAGAUGAGCCGGUCUAGUUUCGGGAGUGUGUGUGAGUCUCCAACACGCAGCCUGGGUGAUGGAGGGGAGGAGAAGGAUGAAACGGAGACGGACAUGGACGAACAGACCAAUAACGACACGGACAGCGCAGAUCUCCCGAAUCCAGAGACUUCGAAGACUGAAGCGGAGGAUGUGAUACAGUUUCCCAGAUUUCAUCCGAUCCACACGUACGUGGCUCUCUUCAAGUUUCUGCCACAAGAGCAGAACGAUCUGGAGUUACGUCCGGGAGACAGAGUGCAGGUCACUGAUGACUCUAAUGAAGAGUGGUGGAAGGGGAAGAGUGGAGACAGGGUGGGUUUCUUUCCCGCUAAGUUUGUACAGAGAGUGCGUCCAGGUGAGACUGUGUGGAGAGUCACGCAGGGUGUCCAUGGCGACCGACAGAUGGGUCACAUGACUGUUAAGGAAGAUCAGAUCCAUCAGACUGUGAGGCGUCUCCUGGUCACAUCCCGCUUCAGGUCACAGCUCUUUAGAUUCAGGUCUGGGUUCGGGCUGGGCCGUUUCAAAAACACGGAUCGUCUUGUGGUGAAGCCGUUCCUCCGUUGAUGUGGACGAGUGCUUCGGGUCGUUGUCGUACCGAAAUACCCCUCUCCUGAUCGAGAUCUUUCACCGAGUGAGAUCCUGUACAUGCUCUGUAGCUCUUUGAGGAACAUGGCUGGCUUCAGCAGUCAGAUGAAAGCAAGAAGAUGUGAAGAAACUCCUACAGAAACAGCUGGUCUUUACUUGGAGUUAAUCAGAAUCACUUCACCGAUGACAGCUGUAUGUUAAUUACGCUUCAUGAGAUUGAAGAUCUGCGUGGGGAAAAAGGAGGACAGUGACGGAUAUGUGAAGCUGUGCAGCGGGAAGAAGCGAGGCCUGGUGCCCACACACUCUCUGGAGGAAAUUUAACACGUCACACACUCCAUACUGACCCAAUAAAUAAAACCCC